CCUACGGGUGGCAGCAGUGAGGAAUAUUGGUCAAUGGACGAGAGUCUGAACCAGCCAAGUAGCGUGAAGGAUGACUGCCCUAUGGGUUGUAAACUUCUUUUAUAAAGGAAUAAAACGAGGCACGUGUGCCUUUUUGCAUGUACUUUAUGAAUAAGGAUCGGCUAACUCCGUGCCAGCAGCCGCGGUAAUACGGAGGAUCCGAGCGUUAUCCGGAUUUAUUGGGUUUAAAGGGAGCGUAGAUGGGUUGUUAAGUCAGUUGUGCAAGUUUGAGGCUCAACCGUAAAAUUGCAAUUGAUACUGGAAGUCUUGAGUACAGUUGAGGUAGGCGGAAUUCGUGGUGUAGCGGUGAAAUGCUUAGAUAUCACGAAGAACCCCGAGUGCGAAGGCAGCUUACUAAACUGUGACUGACAUUGAUGCUCGAAAGUGUGGGUAUCAAACAGGAUUAGAUACCCCUGUAGUC
rnacentral:rRNA from 1 species